AACGGGGGGGGCGAAGCGUUAUUCAUCAUGAUUGGGCGUAAAGGGUGCGUAAGGCAGGGUUCACUGUUUCGCUUAAAGGUUAGGGCUUAGCCUUCUCGCCGGCGAAAGACGUAAUCCCUAUAGGAUUUAUGAGAGGAAAGCGGUACUCUUAAGUGUAGAGGUGAAAUUCGCAAAAACUUUAGAGGACUUACAAUAGGCGAAAGCGGCUUUCUGGCAUUAAUUGACGCUGAGGCACGAAUAGCGUGGGGAGCAAACGGG
rnacentral:rRNA from 1 species